CCUACGGGUGGCAGCAGUGAGGAAUAUUGGUCAAUGGGCGCGAGCCUGAACCAGCCAAGUAGCGUGAAGGAUGACUGCCCUACGGGUUGUAAACUUCUUUUAUAAAGGAAUAAAGUGAGGCACGAGUGCCUUUUUGUAUGUACUUUAUGAAUAAGGAACGGCUAACCCCGUGCCAGCAGCCGCGGUAAUACGGAGGAUCCGAGCGUUAUCCGGAUUUAUUGGGUUUAAAGGGAGCGUAGGUGGGUUGUUAAGUCAGUUGUGAAAGUUUGGGGCUCAACCGGAGAAUUGCAAUUGAUACUGGCAGCCUUGAGUACAGUUGAGGUAGGCGGAAUUCGUGGUGUAGCGGUGAAAUGCUUAGAUAUCACGAAGAACUCCGAUUGCGAAGGCAGCCUACUAAACUGACACUGACGUUGAUGCUCGAAAGUGUGGGUAUCAAACAGGAUUAGAUACCCGAGUAGUC
rnacentral:rRNA from 1 species